AAUCAAGCCUGGGCAAUGGCGGGCGCCCCUCCCCCAGCCUCGCUGCCGCCUUGCAGUUUGAUCUCAGACUGCUGUGCUAGCAAUCAGCGAGACUCCGUGGGCGUAGGACCCUCCGAGCCAGGUGCGGGAUAUAUUCUCGUGGUGCGCCGUUUUUUAAGCCCGUCGGAAAGGCGCAGUAUUUGGGUAGGAGUGACCCGAUUUUCCAGUGAGAUGAACCCGGUACCUCAGCUGGAAAUGCAGAAAUCACCCGUCUUCUGCGUCGCUCACGCUGGGAGCUGUAGACUGGAGCUGUAGACAGGAGCUGUUCCUAUUCGGGCAUCUUGGCUCCUCCUUGAAAACAAGCCCUGGAAAAACAAAGAAUGGAACACCCCUCCGCUGACUUCAACCAACUGCCUGCUGAUGCGGCCUGACUCCCAGCCCUUUUUGCAGUUUUGAAGUGACAAACUGACUAGGCUACAAAGUAUUCAACCAUGGGCUGGUUCUGGCUGGUUCACCGAGGCUGUGUACAAAGUGUCUUCAUGUCCUGUGUUUCACCUUUUAACAUACAGAACCUAAUUUUACUGCAUUUUAAUGUUAAUUCUCCACUCGAAGGUGAACAUGGGAUGUAUGUAACACAUAUGUUUGCUUAUCAAGCACACAUAUGACCCCCUUUCAUGAAUAUUCAUAGUUCCCCCUGUGACCUGUUGAAUAUGUCUGUUUAGCCAACCUGUUUGGCAUAAAACUCCUAUCCCACCCUAUCUCCCUCAAAGUACCUGUUUGUGGUCUCAGCUGGAGGUGCCACUUCCCAGCCUGCAGUUUGCAACCCUUCUCAAGAAAUAAAGUCUUCCUUUCCAA
rnacentral:lncRNA from 1 species